rnacentral:tRNA from 3 species
GUCGACGACUGGGCGGGGUUGCGCGUCGAGGCCGACAAGGCCGGCCUUGGUGACGAACUCGUGGUGCAAACCCCAUACGGCGAUUC